rnacentral:lncRNA from 1 species
AAAAGAUCAUAAUAACUGCAGUACUUUGUGAUCCUCCAUAGGCUUCAAGACACUGCCCAAGGGGUCCAUGACAAAAAUGGUUAUGAAUACCUGACUAAGUUCAAAUCUCAGCUGUGAGCCUUCUAGUAGCAUGGACCUGAGCAACUGUCUUCAACGUCCUAGGCCUGUUUUCCUCCACCUGUAGCAAGGGUAGAAUGGGAAAGCUAGUGUGGCUCCAGACUGCUCUGGGGUCAGGGAGACCUGGGUUCAACUCCUGCCUCCAAACACACAUUGGCUGGGAGACCUUGGCUAAGUCCCUUAAACCUGUUCCAGCUCGCUGGGACACAAUUCUACAAGGCGCAGAUCUGCAUUGGUGGAGGGGUUUUCCUCAAGAGGAAGCAAACAACCCUCAAGGAGACAGCCGACCCUCCCCCUUCCCCUGCCGACCGAGAUGAUUACUGUUAGUUACCCUUCACGGGCGGAGGCUCAGGAGUUUUCCGCAGCUGCCGGGAUGCAGGGCGGAGCAUCCGCUUCUCCUCCCCGCAGCCCGCGCUGUCCCAUCCUCGGAGCUGGGAAAGAGAAGCGGCGGGGGCGGCCCGCCCGCGGAGGGGGGGCUGCACGGGCGAGCCACACGCGGAGGGGAGGGGGCACGAGGUACUUUGUACCCCCUCCCCAACUUGAGCUUCAAAAUGGCGGUGAUGGAGAUGAGAUCACGUGAUCAUCGGACCGAGUCAGGAUGAAUCGUAUUGAGGCCCAGCUGACCUUUGCUUCAGAAUGUCAGAGACCAUAUAUAGGCUCACCAUACAUCUCCCAGAGUUGGGGAAUGUUCUCAGUUUACCAUUCACUCAUCCCAACUAUAUUCCUUUUGUAUACUGGUUAGCGCUUUCAGAUACACAACUGCGUCCUUCCUCACUGUAAUGCUUCUUGGCUUCAAGAAGUUUUAGCGUCUCAUUGUCUGUUUAUCUGAGGAUUUUACUUCCAGAACCUAGAGCACUGCUCACUAGUGUUUCAUAUCAG